CAACUCAUAGUAUUUUAAAUCAUGAUUUACAUCAUAUGUAAUACAUCACAUCAUAAUUAGAAAGCACAAGUAUUGCAUAUAUCAUUGCAAAUCAUAAAUGUUUCAUAUCAUGAUGGUAUCAAUUUGUCAAAUUAUAUCCUAUCAUGCAUGAUCAAAACUUCUCCCCAUUUGUAUUUUAUGCAUAAUUUCACUUCAUCACAUUAGGAGUAUCAAGAGGAAUUAAUUGGGUGAUGAGAUAAAUAUUUCACGAAUACAUGGAAUUGUAUAAAAAAUAAUAUCAUAAGUGUUUCAUACAUUCAUAUCAUCACAUGAAGGAAUAUAAACAAAAAUUAGUGAUGAGAUCUUACUUCAUGAAUACAAUAAAAUUCAUAUAGCAUAUCAUGGUUUAUUAGAAUUAGUCUUCCUUUUCGUGAAUAGCAAAAAGAAUAGUAGGAGAGCAAGAUCUCAAUUCAUGCAUAUCAAAU
rnacentral:lncRNA from 1 species